rnacentral:rRNA from 1 species
AAAUUGAAGAGUUUGAUCAUGGCUCAGAUUGAACGCUGGCGGCAGGCCUAACACAUGCAAGUCGAACGGUAACAGGAAACAGCUUGCUGUUUCGCUGACGAGUGGCGGACGGGUGAGUAAUGUCUGGGAAACUGCCUGAUGGAGGGGGAUAACUACUGGAAACGG